rnacentral:rRNA from 1 species
GACGAACGCUGGCGGCGUGCUUAACACAUGCAAGUCGAACGGAAAGGCCCUGCUUUUGUGGGGUGCUCGAGUGGCGAACGGGUGAGUAACACGUGAGUAACCUGCCCUUGACUUUGGGAUAACUUCAGGAAACUGGGGCUAAUACCGGAUAGGAGCUCCUGCUGCAUGGUGGGGGUUGGAAAGUUUCGGCGGUUGGGGAUGGACUCGCGGCUUAUCAGCUUGUUGGUGGGGUAGUGGCUUACCAAGGCUUUGACGGGUAGCCGGCCUGAGAGGGUGACCGGCCAAAUUGGGACUGGGAUACGGCCCAGACUCCUACGGGGGGCAGCAGGGGGGAAUAUUGCACAAUGGGCGGGAGCCUGAUGCAGCAACGCCGCGGGCGGGAUGACGGCCUUCGGGUUGUAAACCGCUUUCGCCUGGGACGAAGCGUGAGUGACGGUAAUGGGUAAAGAAGCACCGGCUAACUACGUGC